rnacentral:siRNA from 1 species
UUAAAGUGCUAUAUUACUA